ACACGCCCCAGAAUAUUGGUCAUAGCGGUCCACCCGGGACUGCGCGACCCGGAAUCCUUGGAAGGACUUCUCGGAAGGACUCCUCUCUGACAGGUGGGGCGAGCCUAUGGUCGUUUGGACGUGGAGGGAUCCUUUCAGAACCGGCGAUUUCUUUUAUUUAGUAGUGACAUAAUAUUCUUCACUGUGGCUUCUUCCAUUGUGACCCAGACCAAUCUACUUAAGGUCCGCAAAUACUGCUCACGUUCUCCCAUGAAGUCCAUCAUGUGGGGAGUGUUUUCCUUGUAGGAUUACGCUGCUCUCAAGUGCAUACAUGAUGAUCUUUUUGUCCAAGCAUCAGAGGUGAUCCCAGCAUCUUCACAGUACCAGCCUUUCCCCAAGAUCCUCGCCAGAGAAAAGGGUUACCCAGAUCAUCCUGCCACUGGUUCCAGCAUUUGGAGGCAAACAUGAAGCUCCAUCCUCUCCAAUUCUGGGGCAACCGUGUGGAGAUGAUCAAAAUGCUUCACCUUCAAAACUUUCAAAGGAAGAGUUAAUACAGAGUAUGGAUCGUGUAGAUCGAGAAAUUGCAAAAGUAGAACAGCAGAUCCUUAAACUGAAAAAGAAACAAGUAAAAGUCUUUGCCUAAUAUAUUCUAAGAAUGUAUUUUUUUCUCCCUACCGAAGAUAUUUUUGAGUUUUCCAUAUUUUGAAACAUUACAUAAAAGGAAUCAUUCCUUAUAUAUUCUGACUUGCUGUUUUUGCUACCAUUGUGGUUUUCUUACAUUCAUUCAUUUUCCUUGCUGCACUGUCCGAUUAUAUGAUUGUAGAGAGUGAAAUUUGUUUGUCCAUUCUAUUUUUUAUUUUUUUUUAUAAUCCAUACAAUGGUGCUGGUUUUUGGUUCACAUGCAGAGAUUUUCCAUGGCAUGUGCCCAGGAAUGGCAGUGCUUGGCCCAAGAUUAUGCACAGUGAACUAUUUAAUAGAUGAUACCAAAUUUGCUAAGAAGUAACACCUUUUUACAUUCCCACUGGCAGCUUAUGUGGGUACUGGUUUGUGCACAUUCUUGCCUUUACUUGAUAUCAUUUUUUUCAGUUGAAUAUGAAAUAGUCUUCUGUGGUUUGGAAGAAGGCUGAGCUUAUUUUCAUUUGUUUGUGGGUUAUUUGCGUUCCUUAUGUGCAUUGUUCAAGUCUUUUGUCUAUAGUCUCCUAUUUCAACAUUGAAACUUUUAAGAUUUCCUGAAGUCCCUUGUCAGAUAUGUGUAUAGAAGAUUUGCCUAGUUUGAGGCCUGUCACUUCACUUUUAGCCUAGUAUCCACUCUUAAGUGUACACUAAGUGCAUUUUUUUUUCUGGAAUUGGAGUCUCACUGUGUCACCCAGGCUGGAGUGCAGUGGUGUGACCUUGGCUCACUGCAACCUCUGCCUCCCAGGUUCAAGCGAUUCUCCUGCAACAGCCUCCCGAGUAGCUGGGACUGCAGGCGCUUUAAGUGCUUUUAAUGUAUUCAUACAGUUGUACAGCUAUCACCACUCUCUAACUCUAGAACAUGUUUAUCAUUUCAAAAAGAAACUCCAUACUUACUAGCAGUUACUCCCCAUUUCCCCCUUUCCCCAGCCCCUGGCAACCACUAAUCUAUUCUCUGUCUCUAUGGACUAGCAUAUGCCAAAUAUCAGAAAAAGCAGAAUCAUAUGUGACCUUUUGUGUUUGGCUUCAUUUAUUUAGCAUGUUGUCCUGAUUCAUCCAUGUUGUAUCUUGUGUCAGCACUUCAUUGCUUUAUAUGCCUGAAUCCCAUUGCAUGAGUAUACUAUGUUUUGUUUAUCCAUUCAUUAGUUGAUGGAUAUUUGAGUUAUGUUCAUUUUUUGACUAUGAUUAUUAACGUACUGUGAUGAGAUUCAUGUAAUCGUUUUUGUGCGGACGUAUUUUUACAAUUUUCUUUAUAUAUCUAGGAGUGGGCCUAUGGUAAAUCUAUGUUUAAAUUUUUGAAAAACUUCAAAACUGUUUUCCAAAGUCUCUGUACCAUUUUAUAUUAUUACCAGCAGUGUAUGGAGGUUCCAUUUUUUCCUACCUCCUUGCCAACAUCUGUUAUUUUUGUUUUUUAAAAAAAUAUACCCAUCCUUGUAGAUGUGAAGUUGUAUCUAGUUGUAGUUUUCACUUGCAUAUCCUUAAUGACUAAUGAUGUUGAGCAUCCUUUCGUGUGCUGAUUGGCCAUUUGUAUAUCUUUUUAGAGAAAUGUUCAUUUAGACUGUUUGCUCAUUUAAUUGGGUUGUCUUUUUGUUAUUCUAAGAAUUCUUUAUAUAUUCUGGACAUUAGUUCCUCAUCAGAUGUAUGACUUAAUAGAUAUUUUCUCUCAUUCUGUGGGUUCUUUUCACUUUCCUGAUGGUAUCCUUUGAUGUACAAAAGUUUUGAAUUUUGUUAAAGUCCAGUUUGUUUUUUCCUUUUGUCACUCUUGCAUUUGGUGUUGUAUCUAAGACCCAUUGACUAAUUCACGGUCACAGAUUUAUACCUAUGUUUUCUUCUACAAAUUUUAUAGUUUUACCCCUUAUAUUUGGGUCUUUGAUCCUGAUAGUGUUUUUUUGGUGAACAGAAUUUGUUUAGGUUUUAUAUGAAAACCCACUGGGGCUAUUAAGGUAGUCUUACUGUAUUAUCUUUAGAAGUUUUAUGGUUUUGCUUCUCAUCUUAUUCUUAAUCCACUGGAAACUACAUGUUAUAUAGUCAGUGUUCAUUUAUAUUUACUCACAUAUUUGUCUUCUUACGUACUCACCAUUUCUUCUCGCAACUCAAGUCUUCCAUCUAGGGGAACACCCUUCUACUGAAGAACAUCUCUUAGAAUUUCCUUUAGUGAAGGUCUUUUAGUUAGCAAAUUCAGUAUUUGUUUGGUUUUUAUGACUUAAAUAUUGUCUUAUAUUUGGCCUGUUUAUUAAAACAUAUAUUAAUUUCGUAUGUGAUUAUUUUUUCUUAGUACAUUGUCUUCUUGCUUCCAUUUUUAAGACAUUAGCUCUUGGUCUAAAUCCAUAUUCUUUCAUGGAUAAUGUGAAUUUUCUCUCUGCUUGUUUUCAAUAUAUUCUUUUCUUCAGGGUUCCGUUAUUUUUAUGAUGAUACAUUUAGGUGAUUUUUUUUCCCUUUUAAAUUGAGCUUCCUGAAUAUGAAGGGUGGAGUUUUUCAUCACUUUGGGAAAAUUCCAAGCCGUUAUCUUUUUUACAAAACCUUUCUAACAGUUUAUUGUUCUACUUAUGAAAUCCUGUUAGUUGUAAUAUCUUAUCACUCUUGUCUUCCAUUUCUCUUGUUUCUUUCUUAUUUUUUACUUCUUUGGGUUUCAUUCUGAGCAAUUUCUUCAGCCUGUCUUCCAGUUUACAUUUUCCUUUUCAAUUAUAUGUAAUCUGCUGUCAAAUCUGUCUUCAAUUUCAACAAUUAUGUUUUUAUUUCUGGAAUUUCUGUUUGGCUCUUUCUCAAAUCUGCCUGGUCAUUUUUUAAAAUUUUUUUUGCUUUCAUUGAGUUGUAUUAAAUUUUUAAUAUAUGCCCAAAAAUUCUAAUUAAGUCUUUAUUGGUUUGAUUUUGCUGAGUCUGUUUUCUUUUUUUUUUUGUCUUUAUUUUCUUUACUUGUACAAUGGUAAUAAUCUAGUAAUAACACCAACUAAAUCACAUGAUUGUUUUAUGAAUUGAGAUAAUGAAUAUAUUCAUUAUCUCAUAAUAUGUGGUACAUAGUAAAUGUACAUGCGAUCCAUUAUAAUAAUUAGAAAUAAUGAAAUAUGAUGUAUGAUUAUUAUGAAAUGUACCAGAGCCACAAAUUUUAUUGAGCAAUAUAAAAGACAACUAGAGAAAACAAAGAAAUAUGCCAUACCUGGAUGGAAACAGUAAUAAUAAUGUUGUGUGUUCAUCUUUGACUAAAUCAUGUCUCAUAAAAUUUCAAUAAAAUUCCAAUUAAAUUUAUUUUUAAAACAUGGCAAAUACAUUGUAAAGUUAAUGUAAAAGAACAAACAGGGCCAGGCCCAGUGGCUCAACCUAUAAUCCCAGCACUUUGGGAGGCUGAGGUGGGCAUAUCACGAGGUCAGGAGAUCGAGACCAUCCUGGCUAACAUGGUGAAACCCCAUCUCUACUAUAAUACAAAAAAUUUGCCGGGCGUGGUUGCAGGCGCCUGUAGUCCCAGCUACUCAGGAGUCUGAGGCAGGAGAAUGGCGUGAACCCAGGAGAAGGAGCUUGUGGUGAGUGGAGAUCAUGCGACUGCACUCCAGCUUGGGUGACAGAGCGAGAUUCCAUCUGAAAAAUAAAAUAAAAUAUAAAAAGAAAAA
rnacentral:lncRNA from 1 species